GCAGCCACAGGAAACCAACUCAAGCAGCGACUAGAUCAGAUUGGUGGAACAUCAAGUGGUUUCUACCACGUUCCCCUUGACCUUCCCUUCUACAGCCUGGCCUGAUUCGGGGGUCACGAGGCAGGAGAACCAUGGGCAAGAGGGAGCUCGGAGUGCGUGGGAGGUAAAGAUGUUGAAAUUCCUGGGGCUGCCCUGUGGCCAAGUGGUUAAGUUCGCGCGCUGCUUUGGCGCCCAGGGUUUGCCAGUUUGGAUCCUGGGCGCAGACAUGGCACCGCUCAUCAGGCCCUGCUGAGGCAGCGUCCCACAUGCCACAACUAGAAGGACCCACAACUAAAAAUAUACAACUAUGUACCAGGGGGCUUUGGGGAGA
rnacentral:lncRNA from 1 species